AACAACAUCUCGUCAGCCACCUCGGUAGCUUCCUAGCGGAAACGUUCAAGCUGUUCAGACUGAUUCGGUCUAUAUUUACUUCUGUAUUUGGAACAUAAUUCUGUCUUUUAACUAGUUUCCCCAUUUCAUGUCAUAUUUCCGUUUAGUCAGGUAACGAUAGCUGGCUUGAUAAAUGAGCCUAUCACUAGGCUAGUCGCUAACUGGCUAGGUUAGCUGGCUAACAUCCCCGACCAUGAGCUCAGCAAGCUGCUGCCCUCCUGCUAAAAAAGUGGUCUGCUGGAAGGAGAAAGAAGGUAUUUGGCUGAACGUUGUCGUGAAAGAGGAGAAUGAAGAGGAGGAUGUCACAGUAAACGAAGAAGUAGAGGGUGAGGCUGUUACACAGAAAGAAGAGGAAGAAAACGAUUAUACUUUUUUUGGAGUGAAUGAAGGAGAGAUAACUGUCAUAUUGAAGGAGGAGGAGAGGGAAGAAGAGGAGGAGACAGAAGAUCUGAGUAACACCAGAAUUGAUAAAGCUACACUGUAAGAUGUGAAUACCAUCAAGAAGCUGGCCAACAACAAAACUUUAACAAUGGAUUUGCACCCAAAAUCACAACUUAAAUGUCUCACGGAAUGGACUUGCCUUCAUUCAAUACUGCAAUUCCACUGUACUAAACUGGAGGCGAUUUCCAGCCCACCGUUGACUGCGGUCAAGUGAGCCGACAGUCGCAAAACGCGGUCAGGCCAUCUGCUCUUCAGUUUCUUCCUGAAUUUGCGUGCGCGAAUACACUUUACAGAAUGGCGUUUUUUCAGUUAGGGAAACUGAGUUGAAUGGACUCUCAUUUACCCAGUUAGGGAGCCUGAGAACGCAUAAGAGAAUACACACUGGAGAGAAGCCUUACCACUGUUCCCAAUGUGGAAUGUCGUUUACCCAGUUAGGGAGCCUGCAAACGCAUGAGAGGGGACACACAGGGGAAAAGCUUUUCCAAUGUUCCCAUUGUGGAAAGAGUUUUGGCCAGCUAGGAAACCUGAACAAGCAUGAGAGGACACACACAGGUAAGAAGAUGUACCGUUACUCCCAGUGUGGAGAGAGAUUUACCCGGUUAAGGUUCCUGAAAGAGCAUGAAGGAAUACAUACAAAUACACAGGAGGAGAAGACAUACCACUGCUCUCACUGUGGAAAGACAUUUUCCCAGUCAGAGAACCUGAAAACACAUGAGAGAAUCGAGAGGCUGUGUUCUGACUUGUGUUUCUGACUGAGAAUGUGUGUGUUUGUUUGGGCUGUCAGACUUGAGUUCACUUUGUGUAAUGUUAGUGCACUAUUUUUAAUUGUGAUUAAUCCAUUGUCUGAAAGGGUUGAAAACACACUGAAAACAUCCAGAAUACAUCCUAUAUACAGCUACAAUCUACAAUGCCAUGUAAACACAAGAUGACAUUGAGGUUAAAUAAAGUGUGAUUUAUCAAUGGAACAUA